rnacentral:rRNA from 1 species
GACGAACGCUGGCGGCGUGCUUAGCACAUGCAAGUCGAACGGAAAGGCCCUGCUUUUGUGGGGUGCUCGAGUGGCGAACGGGUGAGUAACACGUGAGUAACCUGCCCUUGACUUUGGGAUAACUUCAGGAAACUGGGGCUAAUACCGGAUAGGAGCUCCUGCUGCAUGGUGGGGGUUGGAAAGUUUCGGCGGUUGGGGAUGGACUCGCGGCUUAUCAGCUUGUUGGUGGGGUAGUGGCUACCAAGGCUUUGACGGGUAGCCGGCCUGAGAGGGUGACCGGCCACAUUGGGACUGAGAUACGGCCCAGACUCCUACGGGAGGCAGCAGUGGGGAAUAUUGCACAAUGGGCGGAAGCCUGAUGCAGCAACGCCGCGUGCGGGAUGACGGCCUUCGGGUUGUAAACCGCUUUCGCCUGUGACGAAGCGUGAGUGACGGUAAUGGGUAAAGAAGCACCGGCUAACUACGUG